GCCGUAGCUCAGAGGUAGAGAAUUAGCUUUGCAUGCAGAAAGCCCCGGAUUCAAUUUCUGGCAUCACCA